CCUACGGGAGGCAGUAGUGGGGAAUAUUGGACAAUGGGGGGAACCCUGAUCCAGCCAUGCCGCGUGUGUGAAGAAGGCCCUCGGGUUGUAAAGCACUUUCAGUGAGGAAGAACGCCUGGUGGUUAAUACCCAUCAGGAAAGACAUCACUCACAGAAGAAGCACCGGCUAACUCCGUGCCAGCAGCCGCGGUAAUACGGAGGGUGCGAGCGUUAAUCGGAAUUACUGGGCGUAAAGCGCGCGUAGGUGGCUUGAUAAGCCGGUUGUGAAAGCCCCGGGCUCAACCUGGGAACGGCAUCCGGAACUGUCAAGCUAGAGUGCAGGAGAGGAAGGUAGAAUUCCCGGUGUAGCGGUGAAAUGCGUAGAGAUCGGGAGGAAUACCAGUGGCGAAGGCGGCCUUCUGGACUGACACUGACACUGAGGUGCGAAAGCGUGGGUAGCAAACAGGAUUAGAUACCCUGGUAGUC
rnacentral:rRNA from 1 species